AGGACUCUUGGACUAGACUGGAUUUCCUCUGUUGCUGAACCCUCAACUGUUUCCUUCUAAUGUUGCUCCUAGAUCAUGUUUUGGACUCAGAUUAGUUUCUUGUGCCUGGUCCUGGUUUAUCUUUGACUUGGCAUGCUUAUCUUCUCCUACCAUCGUUUGCCAAUUGUGUAUGGGAUUCUGUGGCUUAUGGCCUACCUGCCAGAACAGAACACUAGUUGACUAGGUAUGUGAUUUCAACUGUUUUCUUGUUUUACUAUUGAUUGACAGUUUGCAUGUGUUUUAUCAAUAGUGUAACCUGCUGUGGGAUCAUUUUAUAAUUAAAACCGGGUGGCAAAUCUUAUACAUUAUAAAUAAAUUAAAUGUUGUUACUGCUAGCUGCCAGACUUGAAAAUCUGUAUGUGGGACAAUAGUAGUUUCAGACUUUUUGGAAGAGCAGUAGAGUCUUUCUGUUAGAAGAACAGUAGAGUCUUUCUGUAUUAGACAAAAGGCCUGGAAUCAUAGAAUUGUAGAAUUGGCAGGGACCCAGGGGUCAUCUAGUCCAACCCCUGCAAUGAAAGAAUCUAGUUCCACAUAUUAUUUCCCACAGUGUCUAUGGGAAGCCCACAAGCAGAACAUGUCGGCAAUAUUGAACGUGGUGUCUUAUAGCAAAGAGAAGUUGAGGAAAUUUCCAUUUGUUUGAAAUGCAUUCCUAUUCUGUGUGAGAAUGUAGCCUUAUGAGGCUUUGCCCUCGGGUGGGAAAAAUAUUGCGCCCGGGAAAGGGAGAUGGGAGUCAACAGACACUCAAGGAAUAGUUUCGGAGAAAAAGCUUUUAUUUCUACCAUCCAUGAACUGGUAGAAGGAGCAAGUGUGAUAACUCACAAAAAGCAUGCACGAGUUCACAGUCAUAUGCACAGAGUAUAUAUUCCCCUUCUAGUUCCCUCCCCUUUCUCCUCCCUCAGGAGUCCUGCCUUGAGUUCCUCUGAUCAUGAACAGAAAGCUGUCUUGGGACUAUUGGACUCUUGGCACCCUUCCCAGGAAAGGGGAAUGAGAGCGGUUCAGCAUGUCCAAGAAGUUGCAGCUAGAAUGAGAUAAGAUUCGUUUCUCAGGCCUGCUUUGAACAGAGCCGAUUCAUUAGCUUGUUGAAGCCUCUUGUGCUGAUAAAAGUAACGGUUUUUCCUAUGUACCAGCAUCUUGUGAGAAUCCACAGAAAAGCUGUAGCUGUGGAUUUUUAGAAGACAAAAGGAAUUUUGAACAGUUUUGAGGCCUGGUUGGGGGGGGUGACUUCGGGCCUAGGUGGGGUCACCUGUCCUCACUUUCCUUCAAGAAUACAGCAAGCAAGGCUCAGAAUUGUGAAGACCAAGCUAUGGUAUACAGUGGUACCUCGGGUUAAGUACUUAAUUCGUUCCGGAGGUCCGUUCUUAACCUGAAACUGUUCUUAACCUGAAGCACCACUUUAGCUAAUGAGGCCUCCUGCUGUCACCGCACCGCCGGAGCACGAUUUCUGUUCUCAUCCUGAAGCAAAGUUCUUAACCUGAGGUAAUAUUUCUGGGUUAGCGGAGUCUGUAACCUGAAGCAUAUGUAACCUGAAGCAUAUGUAACCCGAGGUAACACUGUAUAUGUGCCUGCUGAAUUGGUCUUCUCCUUCCUUGCUGUUUUUAAAAUUUCUUUCUUUUCUGCCUGAGAAUGGCUUCAGUAACUCAGGAAAUAAAUGAUGCUAUGCAGUGGCUAAGGUGAAAAAGGGAACCUGGACAUCUUAGCUCAGUAAGCAUGAUAAUGAGUCUACCAAGGAAGAACGCAAUUUAAAUCCUCACACGACUUCUACAGUAAUGGUCAUUAGUACUGAGUUUCCAGACUACUGCAUACCCAAGAUAGAGAUAGAGUUACUGAAGUAACUCUUUCUCUCAACCUUCUGCUCUCACACGUAAUAGGAAAAAAUAGAGCAAAGAAAUUUACGGACUUAUAUCCUCUACACACAUAGGGAUGUGUAACCGAUACCAGAAUUAUGUGGAUAUCAGAAAAUAUUUGAGGAGCCACAUAAGCAGUUUAGCAGCUAAACCUAAAAUUGUAUGAAACUAGUUGGCUCACUUUUAUACUGGACCUUGCUAAAUAUUCUUUGGUAUACCAGCAAGCAACAAAUUACAUAAAUAAAUUUAAAAAGCCUUUUUAUUUAAAAAUAAAUAAUUUUAAAAAGCCUUUCCUCCCAGGAGAUCAAAAUAGUAUUCAUUGUCCUCCCCUCCAGUUUAUCCUCAGUUUAACCUCAGAAGGUUAGAUUUUCGAACUCCCAUUGAGCGUGUUUGCUGAGCAGGGAUUUGAGUUAUUCCAACACUCCAACCACUACAUAAUGCUGACAGUAAUAGUAGUAGUAGUAAUAAUAAUAAUAAUAAUAAUAAUAAUAAUAAUAAUUUGUAUUUAUACCCCGCCCUCCCAAGCCAAAACUGGGCUCAGAGCAGCUAACAUCAAAUGUAUGACACAUUAACAUAAAAUCAGGCAAUCAGUUAAAGAACAUCCUAAAAUCAGAUCAGGAUCAGAAUAAAGUCCAAUCAGAUGGCAACCUGCAGAUUAGGGUUGGGGACCUUAAAUGUUCACCAGGCCCAACUGUUUGUGCUGAACUUUUAUGGGCCUGUGAGAAAAAUUGGGAGGCCACUUUCAUGCAAGUUCUUAUGAAAGGGGAGGGGGAGUCAGACUGAACCCUGAUCAAAGGCCUGUCGGAACAGCUCCGUCUUGCGGGCCCUGCGGAAAGAUGUCAAAUCCCUCAGGGCCCUGGUCUCUUGUGGCAGAGUGUUCCACCAGGCUGGGGCCAUGGCCAGUCUAAUCUCCUUGAGGCUCAGGACCUCCAAAUCGUUAUUAUUUGCAGACCGUAAGGUCCUCUGUGGGGCAUACCAGGAGAGGUAGUCCCAUAGGUGCUGACUGUAUGGGCAGAAGGAUGACAACUGUGUACUUGUGCUUUAAAUUUUGUACUUAUCCUGCCGCAGGGCUAUGGUAGCCAGCACAUACCUUCUACAGUGCGGAAUGGGCACCCAAAUGAUCACAGGACAACAAACACUAUUGUGGUUGUCAUUUCUGUAUCCUACUUCCAACACAUUCCAGUGAUCGAGAUGUAGGUAUAUUUUGGUGUGGGCAAACACCACAGGUUAGCAAAUGGCAGUUCCAAAUGGCUUUGGAAAUCAAAGGCACAUUAGCUGUUUCAUCCAUUAACCAAGCAUGGCAUGACUUCUUUUAUUUCUGGGAAAGGCAAAGGAUCAGCUUGUGACACCUGGAACACAUGGUAUUUCCAGAUGUCAUUUCCAACCAGUUAUGGCUCCAGAUUUUGGAGGGCCCUUGGGCCAGGACCCUCCCCCCCCCAUUCUGCCUCCUCGCUGCCAUUAAUCCACAGCUGCUGCUUCCAUUCCUCCUAAUUGUUUCUACCUGCUUGCUUGCCAGGCAGAGAGCCAAUGAGCCAGCAGGCAAUGGCAUUAGCUGCUCCUUCUCACCGUAGCUAUUAUCUGGCUCAGGACGAGAAGUGGCUCAGCAAGCAGCUUGCAAUGCUGAAGAGGAGGGGAAAGUCUCAAGUGCUGUUUAUCCAUAGACUCUGUGCUGGGGUGUGGGCUUUCAGCAGAUGCCGGGGUCCUUGUUUCUGACACUGGUAGAAGCUCCAUCCCAUGUCCUUAACAAUCCCAUGAUGCUGCUUGACAGGUUUGUAGUAGUUCUCUCGUGAAAGAAACAGUGGAUUUUGCAAUGGAUCUGACUUGGUAUAAGUGAGUGAAGAUCUACAUCAGGAACAAAGGGGGGUGGAAUAAAGAUCUAUAUUGGGACCUGCUGCCUCUGAGGAAGCUGCCACCUGAGGCAGUCACCUCAGCUUGUCUGAUGGCUGGGCCGGCUCCUUCCUUGAGCUUUGAUGGUCCCCUCUGUCAAGGCUAUUGCAUGAGAAUGGGUGUUUGUGGUUUGUCUGCGAAGCAGGAGAGGAAUGAAUUUGCAACAAACACUUUGUCCAAGGUCCCAGAAUUAGGUACAAGUAGCCCUGCUGCUCUUUAUAAUAAAAGCUUUGGCUUUCCAUAGUUUGGGGUUUUGCUUUUCCCCACUUUAAAACCAUAGCUGCUUUGCUGUAUUAUAAUAAUUGUUUGCCUAAUUCAUUUAGAGGCUGACAAGUCAGCAGCAGAAGAAAAUAAAGGCAUUUGAUACUAUUGCCUCUUAAGAUACUCUAAAUGCUUAGGCCAGUGCUGACCUACAUACUUCUAAAUACAGAGUGGAGGAUGUUUAUCCUGGAAAAUAUUCUGACCCACUUUUGAACUACAUAAUACCAACAUGAUUUGUGAAGAACUUGGCUUGUUCUUGGUUUUGCAGACAAUUUGUUGAGAUUUUUUUUAAAGUAGUAGUAAGGUAACAAUAUGAACUGUUCAAAAAUAGUGAACCCUUUUUUUCUUUUAAAAAUUGUUGAGUGCCAAAGUACUAUUAAGACUUUUGAUUCCCCUCCCCAAAGUUACUUACUACAGUGGUACCUUGGGUUAAGUACUUAAUUCGUUCCAGAGGUCCACUCUUAACCUGAAACUGUUCUUAACCUGAAGCACCACUUUAGCUAAUGGGGCCUCCUGCUGCCGCCGCGCCGCUGGAGCACGAUUUCUGUUCUUAUCCUGAAGCAAAGUUCUUAACGCGAAGCGUAUAUAACCUGAAGCGUAUAUAACCCAAAGUACCACUGUAUUAGAAUAGAAAGUAGGGUAGUCAAUGAACUGCCCUCCACGUCUUGUUGGACUACAGCUCCCAUCAAUUCUGCCCAUUGGCCAUGCUCGUUGGUGCUGAUGGUAGUGGAAAUUUGCCCUGAUGCAGAGACUUUGGUUAUUGUUAAAUUAAAUUAAAGUCUUAUUUUUUAAUUUCACAGGGGUGAUCAUCCUGAAACAUGCAAAAGAAUAGCAGUCACAUUACAAGAAGGAAAUACUGUUGGUUUCUAUUUCCUUCACUGAGCAGCAACUGCAGUCACAAGACAGGUGUUUACAUUCCACAGUCUGUACUGUUGGGUUUUCUCACGGGAAAGGGAGACUGGAUGUGACGUACACUGGUUUCCUGUUUUUUCACUGUGUGAUUCUCUCCAAGCUGUCGAGGAGAGAGGAUGCAUUUUUCUGCUUUGGCAGAGGCAAGAUGUCUUUCUGUAAUAUACCAGCUUUGAACUGUAAAUAAAGCUAUAUGGAGUAUGCAGCACAUUUUCCUCAUCCUUCCGCUGGCCAACAGACUCUGCUUUAAAUCAACACGUGGUUAUGGGCUCCAGGAGUCGAAUCGGAGUGCCGGCAAAGGAUCGGAAUGCAGAGGGACGGAUCGGAAAGGAAUCUGCUCUGCGCGUAGAAGUGAUUGAUGAGGUAUGUGCUACUGCUCCGGGCAGCCUGCCAGCUUCAAGAUAAUGGCUUUAUGGCUGGACUUUGAACUUUUAAAGCCGGUUUUGCAAAUAGGCAAAAGGCUCCCAGGCACAAGUCACUAUGCUGGGGAAAUCGAAAGUAACUUUUAAGUGUGCCUUUGGAUAAGGCAGCUGCAGCAGUG